rnacentral:rRNA from 1 species
UACGUAGGGUGCAAGCGUUGUCCGGAUUUAUUGGGCGUAAAGAGCUCGUAGGCGGUUUGGCAAGUCAGGUGUGAAAACUCCAGGCUCAACCUGGAGAUGCCACCUGAUACUGCUAUGACUUGAGUCUGGUAGGGGAGCACGGAAUUCCUGGUGUAGCGGUGAAAUGCGCAGAUAUCAGGAGGAACCCCGGUGGCGAAGGCGGUGCUCUGGGCCAGUACUGACGCUGAGGAGCGAAAGCGUGGGGAGCAAACAGG